ACAUCACACACUCAUCUACAUCAUGACCUUCACCAUCUUCUCCAUCACCUGCCUUGCCCUGGUGGCCUCUGCUCUGGGUUGUGGAGUGCCUGCGAUUAAACCACAGACGAUCGGCAGCAGGAUUGUGAACGGACAGAAUGCCAUCUCUGGUUCUUGGCCCUGGCAGGUCUCUCUUCAGCACCCCAAUGGUUUCCACUUCUGUGCAGGA